AUUUAGCAUUGUGGCACAAACUUUUGAAUUGCUCGCCACUGCACGUGCGGACACUUCACUUGAUGAACAAAACCUGAGUGGUAUAUUUUCAAACUUUUUUAUGUCUGCCUGACGUUUCUUUAAAACGUCAUGACUGCGUUCGAAGAUAAAAGCCAAAGAAUAAAAACAGCAAGCAAAAACAAGCAGACAUACCCGUUUAUUGAGGCACUGGAGAUGAAAGCGUCUCAGGGUCGUAUCCGUGUUCAAGGCAGCCAAAGUCGGGUUGGUGACGGCUGGGGCUCCGCUAGCCUGGAAGGGUGAAUCUCGCGUCCUCUCGGAUCUGUGGACUCCCGCUGCUCAGAGGACUGCAACUCUACCGCCCCUCAGCCGCAACUCUUUUAUUUUUUUUCCAGCAGGCUUUGUCAGGACGGGCCCGAUCAAAAGGACUCAGGGGGUCACAUAUUGCCCGUGGGCUUUAUUUUUCCUGCCCCAGAUCCAGGAAAGCGUGUUUGUGUGUUUGUCGGAAUGCAGCGACUCGUCCGUGCCUGCAAGUAAAGAGCGAGGUAGUCUCCUGCCUUUUCUGGUUCUACAUUGAGACCUGGACUGUGCUGUUAAUUUCUCAAUGGGAUUUAAAACACACAAAUACAUAGAGAAAGGAAGAGGGAGAGAGAAAGAGAAAAUCCGCUGCUGGACGCCAAGGCACAGCUCAGAUUGACCAUGCCAUUCAUCCAUCCGCCCAUCAGUCCCUCCCUUCGUCAAAGUUGCCAUCCCCAAAAAAAAAAUCUGUCGUCGUCAUCAUCAUCCCGCUUUAUGAGGGCUUCUCCGGUGGACAGAGUCUAAGGCUGGGCUUAGCUUCUUUCGGCUGAGGCGUGACUACAUUUGAGAAGACAGCUGAGCUAUUGGCGAGCGAGGGGAUCUCUGCGGGCUACCUGCUCAAGAGCGAUGAGUGGAGCUGGUGCUGAUGGCUGUAACACUGACUGCUACGAGGCGACUCUGUGCGAUCUAUCACCGUCUGGAACCAACCGGCCACGUCCACCUCAAGCACCUCGUAACGUCGGAUGAAGCUGUGCUCCUGGAAUAACGCGGGGGUCAAGGGCAAUAGUGCACGGGCCACACAAUCCUGUCCCAUGGACCGCAAUUGGCACCCGGGCCAAAUGUUUGAGACCAUUAUGUAAGGUAUUUAUUAUCUUCAAGGAUCAGUACACAUCAACAUUACAACUUGAAACAAAGUACAUGCAACCCGAUUCGUUGCUGUCCUUAUUUUUACGUCACGCGAAGCAGAAGUCUGGUUUUACGGAUAUAACUGGGAACACAGAACCGCUUUUGGCGACCAGCAAUGUGUUUUUGUGCAUCGGUCUUAACUUCUAUGAGAUUAAGCUCCAUUUUCGUAGUAAUAGCUUUUAUUUUGGCGAGACCAACAUACCUAGAAGACCCAGUAUUCUUCUUUGGGGCUAUAAUCUAAUAAAAGAGGGUAGAAAAGGCAAAGACCCUCCCAGUUGGCCCAUAAACAGACAAGCCCUAUGCACUAGUGAAGCAGAAACAUAGGUGUGUGGGACUAAAUGGUGGACGAGGCACAGGUCCUGUAUAGUUACAAAUGUCUCCAUUACACAGGAGCUGUCAAAUGAUUAAUCAUGGGGUUCCUCGGUUUACAGUGGAGUUCAGUUCAUACUUGGCAUUUUAAAAAAAUGUUUCAGCAGCUUUUUUCAUCCUGCUGUGAAUUUAGUUUGUCAAUAGUAGACGUCCACUCCAUUUGGACUGGGAGGGAUGGAAUGGAACGAACAUUCGUUAAUUCACUGCCACCCCCUCCAGUUCAAAUGUAUUGGACUUCUAAGGGUGUAACGGUACAUGUAUUUGUAUUGAACCGUUUCGGUAUGUGGUGCUCGGUUCGGAACGGAGGCGUACCGAACGGGUUUCUGACGUAAUGUAACCCUUACUUUUGGAGGCUGUGAGUCGAUCGGGUUACAGUUUCUUUGUGUAGCUUAUAUUUACUCCGUCUUCUCUACUAUAAUGAGGACCAAAACAGUAGGAAAGUAUAACCCAGAAAUGUCAACGGCGCGACAACGUGGCCGCCGUGAGAACGCGGCCGUUAAAGUCAAUCCGCCAAUGCACACCAGUCGCAGUGCGGCCACGUGUUAGACGCGUCCCAGAAGCGGUUCAACGCGACACACGCAAAAAGAACGGCAGAGUUUAUUAUUUGACGCGAGACGUGACCCUCCUGCAUCAAUACUACUACCGGUAGCUAGGAUCUGGCAGACCCGAAGUCACUCGUGUAAAAAUACGGUGGAUCUGGUCGAUUUUCAAACUAAUAUGCAAUCGUAACCUCUUGAUUGGUAGAUCGGGGCACAGUUGACUUGUCUUUGUUGAUUUACUGCUGUCUUCUCUGCUAUCAUAAUAACCAACAUGGCCCCGUGUUCAAUACAAAACCCCCUUACCACAACAAAACAAGUAGAAACUAAUAUUCACAUAGGAACUAAAGUUAUACAACAUAAAAUAUACAAUAUAAAUGAAUACAUCACAUUUGUAAAAUAUAAACACACAAAAUAAAUAAUAGCCCAUUUAAAUAAAAUAAAUUGAAAUGAGCUAAAAUACCUGUCAUUAAAUAAUAAGAAUAAUAGACAGAUCCUGCUUAUACAAUUAAAUUUAUUAAUUUCUGUGUGGCGCUUUAACUUGAUAACUUGAGAAAAUACACCAGUAAAGCUUUUGAAAACCGUUCAUAAGAAAAAAAAAUGAUUCACUGAGGCAUUUCAUUUGUAAAAUACAUCUUAAAAUCUUUGUCAUUGGGAUUAAGCCUGUCGCAAUAUGCAAUAAUUCCAUUUAUUGCACGAUAAAUAAAAAUGAAGGCGAUAAUUUUUCCGCUGCGAUUUAUCGCCUCACGUGCACGUGCGUGUGCGGCAGAUGUGCUGUUAAAAGUUCCGAUUCCUUGUUACCAACUACGCAAAAUGCAUCUUCGUUCCAGUUCAUAUCCUAUUUUUUCAACCUAUACUGGCUGCGUCAAUGCUUGGAUUGACUGCGGACCAUGUCCGGCGUGUCGGAGUCCGCCGAAUGGUUAAGGCGAUUUUCUAUUUUUGCUUGAGACGCAUCUGUCAAAAUGGGCGGAUCCAGGCCUGGAAUCAACAGCCCAGUGUCUUAUUAACGGUUUACACACCAGCGAACACGGACGAAGAACGUUUCAUCAUGGAAGUGGAAAGCCACAAAGUGAUUUAUGAUGCAGCAGAUCAUCGUAUCACUGUUGCGUGCGCUUCCGGAUAUUUACAACGAAGUCCACCAAAACAUUGUUGCAGACUUGGCUACUACGAACAACCUUGCUUUGACAACGCACAGCUGAAUGGACAUGAUGAACAUUGAGUGGCAAAUUAAGAGCGCUGUUCUCCAAACUCGUCCUGUUUAUGACAGUCUAUUGUCAUAUGCUGGUGUUGUGCAGUAAUGAGCAAACGUGAAUUCUGUGGCAUUUGCUAACUUUUUUAAUGCGCACACACACUAGAUAUCAUGAAAUAGCAAACUAGAUGUGCUACGUCCCAUGCCAUUGGCUACGUGAGCCCAGAGUGAUUAUGGGACACGUAGUCCAUAUACUACAUCGAUGAAUUAUAAACCGCCAUGACUGAAUGGAAGUUAAGCAGGCCAAAUCAAUCCAUACCAGUGACUAUAGAUAAGGAUGUGAAUAUUGUUAAUUCAGUACGUGACACAGAUGGAUUCGAACCACAAAUAGGAUGUUUUGCUCAUGUAGUAAACCUAGCUGCUAAGAGAGCUGUAGCAAUCAACAGUGUGCCCCACCUCACUUUACAAACAGUAAAGAUUGUUCUCAGCACUUUCAUACAAAAUUUCUUCAGAUCAGUAAGAAGUAAGCACAUAAAUAUUAUGCACUAAAAUGCAUGUUUAUAUGAUGGCAAUUUAAUUUUUGCUCAUUAGCAAAAAAAAAAAAAAAAAAGAAAAAAGAAUUGAUAAUUUUUUUUCAGAGCAUUAAAUGUAUUGAAUCUAGUCAAAAAUUGUGUCCCGAACAUCCGAACCGUGACUUAACUAUCGUUGCAUCCCUAUGGAACACCAUAGCAGAAGCUAUGACGGGAAAUGUUUUCAUUCAAGUUAUGAAGUGCAAUUUUAUUUUUUUUCUUGAAAAACACAUUUUAUUUAUUCUGUGUUUCUGUGUGGUAAUAAUAUUGUUGUCUUUUACUUAAGAGGCAUGGUCUAUUGUUUUUUGUUGUGAUUUCUUGAGAAGUAUUUUUGAAUUUCAGAGUAAACAUUUAUCGCAUUUAAAUGGGUGUAGCUGAUCUAUUAAUAUAUACUGUAUUCUCACUGUUAUUGUAAAUUGUUUUUUUUUUUAAAUGGGGGGGACGCAAUAAUAUCGCAUAUCGCAAUAAUUUAUGAGAUGAGACAAAUUUUAGUGUGCGAUAAGUUAUCGCGACAGGCCUAAUUGGGAUUGCUUUUCUCUUUAGCACAGGACUUCUUUUUUCUUCCUUUCAGAAAGCUGACCAAUACCCGGGGUCUGAAAGGCAAAUUGUUGUUGGAUUAUCUUUAAAUACCCGCUACUUUUUGAGCAGAAUUCUAGCUUUGUAUAGGCUAAUGUUCCUAUUGUUGAAAGCACAAAGCUGUGUAAUAAACAACUAGCACAUUUAUAUUUUGCAUUUUGUUUUCUUACUGUACCGAAAAUGAACCGAACCGUGACCUCAAAACCGAGGAACGUACCAAACCGAGAUUUUUGUGUACCGUUACACCCCUAUGGACUUCUAUCGCCAUCAAUGGCACCCAAUGAGUUAGGUUUGGUUGCAGCUUCAGCUCAUAUGCCAUUAUCUGCAUUGAAUAUGCAAUGUUGCAGUGUUUCCCACCAAUGAAAGAGACUGUGGCGGCCCGCCACAGUCUCGUUUGGGCCCGCCACAGUCUAGUUUGCGCCCCCCCUCCCCCCCCCCCGCCGAAAAAAAAAAAAAAAGAUACUAAUCAGAUGCGUCAGUCAGCCGAUUACACAGCUGUAGCCCACUCCACUCUACUACCCGCGCGAGUGAGAGCAGCAUUUUAGAGUAGUAUUUUAUUUAUUUAUUUAUUCAUUUAAGAGACGCAAGGGGAACGAGUAGGAAGAAUGGGAGAACGAGCGAGAUAGCGAGAGAUAGCGGUCGCAUGUCGUAGCAGCCCGCUGUUAUUUUGUUAUUGUUUUUCUUUAUUAUUGUUACCACAAUCAAGUGGGUAAGCAAAUACAGACUUCUCUCCUUCUUCCCCAUAUCCGGGGCAUUACAAUAGUUUGGAUCGGACUUUUCGGCGAAAGUGAGCGGUGGACGGCCGUCUUGGACGGAAAGCAAACUUUGAUUGAACUUGCGCAGAGAGGUGGGGCCCAAAAUAAAGCCUUGCUCUAUUUUCAGAGCGUUGGUCACAGUAAAGUAUUUAUUAGUUCAAGCAGAGUAAAAUGAUACAUAUUCACGGUACAAGAACGUCGUUUCCGUGUCCAUCGAUUGGUAAGAAAAGGCUGUUUGUACGAGUGACGUGUGGGCGCUCCCGUCGGGGGGACAUUUCGCGUGGAGUGGCUAUUUUCCGGCACAACACCGACGCGCCAACUUCAGACAAUUACGGCUGACGAAAGUUGGAUAAAUGCGCCCCCCCCCGCCCCCCCAAUUUCGCGAGCUCUGGGACACUCGAAAAAUGACUCUCAUACCUCUCCUUGCUAAGUUAAUGGUACCUCGAUGUGCGUUUGUGUGGAAAUUUAGUUCACGAACAACGGGGAAAAAACUAUCCACCUUCUCACCGAAUCAAGAAAAACUUUACACGGCCAUUAGAAUUCCCCCAGUCCUGUAAAUGGGUCAGUUGACAGAAGGACUGUUAUUGUUGUGGUAAUGUAGUACUUAUGAGGGUCAAAUAAAAAGGAAAAAGGAGGGCUACGACGGCGGUCUGAAACCCGCGGCUCUUGGGCCGCAUGCGGCUCUUUAGUGCUGCUUCGGAGCUUUUUUUUUUUUUUUUUUUUAAAUGGAAAAAGAUGGGGGAGGGAAAUAUAUUUUUUGUUUUAAUAGGAUUUCUAGGAGGACAAACAUGAUACAAACAUUCUUUCAAUUCAUUAAUAUUGUAAUGAAGUUAAACUUGUGGUGUCAUCGUGCAACAGAGUAGUCACGUGGUGCGCUAUAGGAUCCACUGCAGGGAAAAUAAACAUUUAAUCAUGAAGGCUAAUUAUGUAUUUCUAGCCAACUUAUUCAUUUUUAUAGUAGGCUAAUAUAGCUAGUAUUGAUAAUUAUAAGGCUUGUACAAGGCUUUUAAUUUUUUGCUGCUCCAGACAUACUGUAUCAGUU